rnacentral:rRNA from 1 species
AGAGUUUGAUUCUGGCUCAGAACGAACGCUGGCGGCGUGGAUAAGACAUGCAAGUCGAACGAGAGAAUUGCUAGCUUGCUAAUAAUUCUCUAGUGGCGCACGGGUGAGUAACACGUGAGUAACCUGCCCCCGAGAGCGGGAUAGCCCUGGGAAACUGGGAUUAAUACCGCAUAGAAUCGCAAGAUUAAAGCAGCAAUGCGCUUGGGGAUGGGCUCGCGGCCUAUUAGUUAGUUGGUGAGGUAACGGCUCACCAAGGCGAUGACGGGUAGCCGGUCUGAGAGGAUGUCCGGCCACACUGGAACUGAGACACGGUCCAGACACCUACGGGUGGCAGCAGUCGAGAAUCAUUCACAAUGGGGGAAACCCUGAUGGUGCGACGCCGCGUGGGGGAAUGAAGGUCUUCGGAUUGUAAACCCCUGUCAUGUGGGAGCAAAUUAAAAAGAUAGUACCACAAGAGGAAGAGACGGCUAACUCUGUGCCAGCAGCCGCGGUAAUACAGAGGUCUCAAGCGUUGUUCGGAAUCACUGGGCGUAAAGCGUGCGUAGGCUGUUUCGUAAGUCGUGUGUGAAAGGCGCGGGCUCAACCCGCGGACGGCACAUGAUACUGCGAGACUAGAGUAAUGGAGGGGGAACCGGAAUUCUCGGUGUAGCAGUGAAAUGCGUAGAUAUCGAGAGGAACACUCGUGGCGAAGGCGGGUUCCUGGACAUUAACUGACGCUGAGGCACGAAGGCCAGGGGAGCGAAAGGGAUUAGAUACCCCUGUAGUCCUGGCAGUAAACGGUGCACGCUUGGUGUGCGGGGAAUCGACCCCCUGCGUGCCGGAGCU